rnacentral:rRNA from 1 species
AGUGCUGUUUAAGGGUUCGCCCUUAGUCUGCGUUGCAUGCGGUGGAGCAUAAUAAUAGGGUAAACCAGGUAUUUAUAACUUGAAUACAUAGGGUUAUAAAAGCAAACCCGGGGAACUGAAACAUCUAAGUACCCGGAGGAAAGGACAUCAAUUAGAUACUCCCCUAGUAGCGGCGAGCGAACGGGGACCAGCCGAGCCAUGAGUGUGACUAGAAUGUGUUGGAAAGCACAACCAAAGUGGGUGACAGUCCCGUAUAGGAAGCAUGAUUGGACGUAUUAAGUAGGGCGGGACACGUGAAAUCCUGUUCGAAGAUCGGAGGACCACCUCCGAAGGCUAAGUACUCCUUACUGACCGAUAGUGAACCAGUACCGUGAGGGAAAGGUGAAAAGCACCCCGACGAGGGGAGUGAAACAGUUUCUGAAACCGGACGCCUACAAUCAGUUGGAGGGCCCUUGCGGCCUGACAGCGUACCUUUUGUAUAAUGGGUCAUCGACUUAGUGUAUCUAGCAAGCUUAAGCCGUUAGGUGUAGGCGCAGCGAAAGCGAGUCUUAAUAGGGCGAUUGAGUUAGAUGCAUUAGACCCGAAACCGAGUGAUCUAGGCAUGACCAGGUUGAAGGUUGGGUAACACCAACUGGAGGACCGAACCCACAUCUGUUGAAAAAGAUCGGGAUGAGUUGUGCCUAGGGGUGAAAGGCCAAUCAAACUCGGAGAUAGCUGGUUCUCCGCGAAAUCUAUUUAGGUAGAGCGUCAUCCGAAUACCCCGGGGGGUAGAGCACUGGAUGGGUAAUGGGGCCCCACAGGCUUACUGAUCCUAGCCAAA